CCUACGGGAGGCUGCAGUCGGGAAUAUUGCGCAAUGGAGGAAACUCUGACGCAGUGACGCCGCGUGCAGGAAGAAGGUUUUCGGAUUGUAAACUGCUUUAGACAGGGAAGAAAAAAGACAGUACCUGUAGUAUAAGCUCCGGCUAACUACGUGCCAGCAGCCGCGGUAAUACGUAGGGAGCAAGCGUUAUCCGGAUGUAUUGGGUGUAAAGGGUGCGUAGACGGAGAAGCAAGUUAGUUGUGAAAUCCCUCGGCUUAACUGAGGAACUGCAACUAAAACUACUGCCCUUGAGUACUGGGGAGGAAAGUGGAAUUCCUGGUGUAGCGGUGAAAUGCGUAGAUAUUAGGAAGAACACCAGUGGCGAAGGCGACUUGCUGGAGAGUAACUGACGUUGAGGCACGAAAGUGUGGGGAGCGAACAGGAUUAGAUACCCCAGUAGUC
rnacentral:rRNA from 1 species